AGAGUUUGAUCCUGGCUCAGGACGAACGCUGGCGGCGUGCCUAAUACAUGCAAGUCGAGCGAAGAAGAGAGAGCUUGUUCUCGAAUCUUAGCGGCGGACGGGUGAGUAACACGUAGGCAACCUGCCUGUAAGCCUGGGAUAACUCCGGGAAACCGGAGCUAAUACCAGAUAAACCGUUAGACCGCAUGGUCUAACGAUAAAAGGAUGCGAUUCCACUUACAGAUGGACCUGCGGCGCAUUAGCUCGUUGGUGAGGUAACGGCUCACCAAGGCAACGAUGCGUAGCCGACCUGAGAGGGUGACCGGCCACACUGGGACUGAGACACGGCCCAGACUCCUACGGGAGGCAGCAGUAGGGAAUCUUCGGCAAUGGACGAAAGUCUGACCGAGCAACGCCGCGUGAGUGAUGAAGGUUUUCGGAUUGUAAAACUCUGUUGUCAGGGAAGAACAAACGAGAUAGGAUCUCGUCUUGACGGUACCUGACGAGAAAGCCCCGGCUAACUACGUGCCAGCAGCCGCGGUAAUACGUAGGGGGCAAGCGUUGUCCGGAAUUAUUGGGCGUAAAGCGCGCGCAGGCGGUCCUUUAAGUCCGAUGUGAAAGUCCACGGCUCAACCGUGGGAUUGCAUUGGAAACUGGG
rnacentral:rRNA from 1 species